CCGUUUUUCGGGGGCCUGGCUUGGGCCAGCCUCCCCGCAUGCCGCGCAGGUGGGCUCAAUUGUCUAUCGUCCCCAGCGUCGUCCUCCACCUCGCCGUGCUUCAUGCCGCCAGCCUCACUGGACGGGCCACCAUCGACCACCGUUGCUAGCUCACUUACUUCCAUGGCUUCGAGCGCAGAUUCGCUGAGCACAUCUUCAUUGAGUACGCUCUACUUCCAUGGCCAGAUUCAUUCUAGGGAAGGGGAUCCACUUCUUUGAAGGAGGAUACCCUGCUCUGCCACCUCCAGAUCUUCUUCCUACCUCUAUGGCUCCAUGCUCGUGACUCUGCUGUGGCUGCUUCUUCUUGUAGCUGCAUCCACGCAAUCCCAUUAAACGCCAACGAUGAAGACCGAUCUAGUUGAAGGCAGAGCACCCAACCAUUUUCCUCAAAAUAAUGUGAGGAUAUGGAGUAAGUGUAUAUGGAUGAUAUGCCCACUUCUGUAGAAGUUCAAGCAUUUAUAUCUUAUAAGAAGGUAAAUUUGCAUGGCAUUUUACUUUUAUAUUUACACUAUUAUAGAUCCAAAAGAGAGAGACUUCAAACCAGACUGCAUAUAUACGGCUUCAGUUGUUUUAGUCAACAACAUAUCCAAAAUUUCUAGUCUACCUUUAGGGAUUAUUGCUCUAGCAAAUGUCUGCAACUGGUGUUUUCUCAAGGUAAUAGGAACCGCAAGGUAUGAAUGUUUGAUGUCGUUCAUCUCUUUGAGCAGGUUAUGGCAAGCCUGAAAACAGAAAUUCGUAGAAAGAAAUAAAUUUAUUGGUUCUA